AAGGCUAAACAAAAUAGAAAUUGAAGAUGAGUGAACGUAUUAGUGCUGUUAUUUACUAUGAUGGUAAGGUCUGUGACACCGAGAACGACGUUAUUUUUUUAUCGGAGAAUACAGCGCGACUGGUUUUUAACCAGAACAUAGAUUUGAUGGAACUUCGUAAAAGAAUUAGGCGUAAAAUCUUCGAAACGAUGCCAAUGAGAGUUUCAUCUAUUAAGUAUCGAUUUUGUGCUUCGAUUGAUCCCGUGACAUAUGAC
rnacentral:lncRNA from 1 species